rnacentral:rRNA from 1 species
UACGGGGGGGGCAAGCGUUGUUCGGAAUUACUGGGCGUAAAGGGCUCGUAGGCGGCCAACUAAGUCCGACGUGAAAUCCCCAGGCUUAACCUUGGAACUGCGUCGGAUACUGGAUGGCUUGAAUUCGGGAGAGGGAUGCAGAAUUCCAGGUGUAGCGGUGAAAUGCGUAGAUAUCUGGAGGAAUACCGGUGGCGAAGGCGGCAUCCUGGACCGACAUUGACGCUGAUGAGCGAAAAGCUAGGGGAGCAAACGGG